CCUACGGGUGGCAGCAGUGGGGAAUAUUGCACAAUGGGGGAAACCCUGAUGCAGCGACGCCGCGUGAGUGAAGAAGUAUUUCGGUAUGUAAAGCUCUAUCAGCAGGGAAGAAAAUGACGGUACCUGAGUAAGAAGCCCCGGCUAACUACGUGCCAGCAGCCGCGGUAAUACGUAGGGGGCAAGCGUUAUCCGGAUUUACUGGGUGUAAAGGGAGCGUAGACGGCAGCACAAGUCUGGAGUGAAAGGCGGGGGCUCAACCCCCGGACUGCUCAGGAAACUGUUCGGGUAGAGGGCAGGAGAGGGAAGUGGAAUUCCCAGUGUAGCCGUGAAAGGCGUAGAUAUUAAGAGGAACACCAGUGGCGAAGGCGGCUUACUGGACUGUAACUGACGUUGAGGCUCGAAAGCGUGGGGAGCAAACAGGAUUAGAUACCCCUGUAGUC
rnacentral:rRNA from 1 species